UACGGAGGGGGCGAGCGUUGUCCGAAGUUACUGGGCGUAAAGCGCGCGUAGGCGGGUUGGUAAGUCCGCUGUGAAAGCCCGGAGCUCAACUCCGGAGGGUCGGUGGAUACUGCCAGUCUUGAAGGUGCUAGGGGGAGAUGGAAUUACCGGUGUAGCGGUGAAAUGCGUAGAGAUCGUCCAGAACACCGAUAGCGAAGGCAGCUUACUAAGGAGUAACUGACGCUGAGGCACGAAAGUGUGGGGAUCAAACAGG
rnacentral:rRNA from 1 species